rnacentral:rRNA from 1 species
GAUGAACGCUGGCGGCGUGCCUAAUACAUGCAAGUCGAGCGAACGGACGAGAAGCUUGCUUUUCUGAUGUUAGCGGCGGACGGGUGAGUAACACGUGGAUAACCUACCUAUAAGACUGGGAUAACUUCGGGAAACCGGAGCUAAUACCGGAUAAUAUUUUGAACCGCAUGGUUCAAAAGUGAAAGACGGUCUUGCUGUCACUUAUAGAUGGAUCCGCGCUGCAUUAGCUAGUUGGUAAGGUAACGGCUUACCAAGGCAAUGAUGCAUAGCCGACCUGAGAGGGUGAUCGGCCACACUGGAACUGAGACACGGUCCAGACUCCUACGGGAGGCAGCAGUAGGGAAUCUUCCGCAAUGGGCGAAAGCCUGACGGAGCAACGCCGCGUGAGUGAUGAAGGUCUUCGGAUCGUAAAACUCUGUUAUUAGGGAAGAACAUAUGUGUAAGUAACUGUGCACAUCUUGACGGUACCUAAUCAGAAAGCCACGGCUAACUACGUG